GACGAACGCUGGCGGCGUGCUUAACACAUGCAAGUCGAACGGUAAGGCCCUUCGGGGUACACGAGUGGCGAACGGGUGAGUAACACGUGGGUGAUCCGCCCUGCACUUCGGGAUAAGCCUGGGAAACUGGGUCUAAUACCGGAUAGGACUCCGGACUGCAUGGUCUGGGGUGGAAAGCUUUUGCGGUGUGGGAUGGGCCCGCGGCCUAUCAGCUUGUUGGUGGGGUGAUGGCCUACCAAGGCGACGACGGGUAGCCGGCCUGAGAGGGUGACCGGCCACACUGGGACUGAGAUACGGCCCAGACUCCUACGGGAGGCAGCAGUGGGGAAUAUUGCACAAUGGGCGCAAGCCUGAUGCAGCGACGCCGCGUGAGGGAUGAUGGCCUUCGGGUUGUAAACCUCUUUCAGCACCGACGAAGCGCAAGUGACGGUAGGUGCAGAAGAAGGACCGGCCAACUACGUGCCAGCAGCCGCGGUAA
rnacentral:rRNA from 1 species